CAGUCCACCCUGAACAUGCCCGAUUUCAUCUGAUCUCGGAAGCUAAACAGGGUCAGAACUGGUUAGUACUUGGAUGGGAGACAAACCUCUUUUAAGAGAAAGAAAGUAAAUAAAUUGA
rnacentral:rRNA from 1 species